UGGGGAAUCUUGGACAAUGGGGGCAACCCUGAUCCAGCCAUGCCGCGUGAGUGAUGAAGGCCUUAGGGUCGUAAAGCUCUUUCGCCUGUGAAGAUAAUGACGGUAGCCGGAGAAGAAGCCCCGGCUAACUCCGUGCCAGCAGCCGCGGUAAUACGGAGGGGGCUAGCGUUGUUCGGAAUUACUGGGCGUAAAGCGCGCGUAGGCGGGCUGUUAAGUCGGGGGUGAAAUCCCGGGGCUCAACCCCGGAACUGCCCUCGAUACUGGCAGCCUAGAGGUCGAGAGAGGUGAGUGGAAUUCCAAGUGUAGAGGUGAAAUUCGUAGAUAUUUGGAAGGAACACCAGUGGCGAAGGCGGCUCACUGGCUCGAUACUGACGCUGAGGUGCGAAAGUGUGGGGAGCAAACAGGAUUAGAUACCCUGGUAGUCCACACCGUAAACGAUGAAUGCCAGUCGUCGGGUAGCAUGCUAUUCGGUGACACACCUAACGGAUUAAGCAUUCCGCCUGGGGAGUACGGUC
rnacentral:rRNA from 1 species